UCACGUCUUACGACGGCAGUUUCACUAGAGUUCCCAGCGUUACCUGAUGGCAACUAGUGAUGGGGGUUGCGCUCGUUGCGGGACUUGACCCAACACCUCACGACACGAGCUGACGACAGCCAUGCACCACCUGUGAUGGCGUCCCGAAGGAAAGGUGUGUUUCCACACCGGUCACCAACAUGUCAAGCCCAGGUAAGGUUCUUCGCGUUGCGUCGAAUUAAACCACAUGCUCCGCUGCUUGUGCGGGUCCCCGUCAAUUCCUUUGAGUUUUAGCCUUGCGGCCGUACUCCCCAGGCGGGGCACUUAAUGCGUUAGGUGCGGCACCGGCGGUAACCCGCCGACACUUAGUUCCCAUCGUUUAGGGCGUGGACUAC
rnacentral:misc_RNA from 1 species